UCCCUGGUGGCUCAGAUGGUAAAGAAUCUGCCUACAAUGCAGGAGACCCAGGUUCGAUCUCUGGGUUGGGAA
rnacentral:tRNA from 1 species